GGACGACGCUGGCGGCGUGCCUAAUACAUGCAAGUAGAACGCUGAAGGAGGAGCUUGCUCUUUCCGGAUGAGUUGCGAACGGGUGAGUAACGCGUAGGUAACCUGCCUGGUAGUGGGGGAUAACUAUUGGGAAAACGAUAGCUAAUACCGCAUAAUAGUAGAUGUUGCAUGACAUUUGCUUAAAAGGUGCAAUUGCAUCACUACCAGAUGGACCUGCGUUGUAUUAGCUAGUUGGUGAGGUAACGGCUCACCAAGGCAACGAUACAUAGCCGACCUGAGAGGGUGAUCGGCCACACUGGGACUGAGACACGGGCCCAGACUCCUACGGGAGGCAGCAGUAGGGGAAUCUUCGGCAAUGGACGGAAGUCUGACCGAGCAACGCCGCGUGAGUGAAGAAGGUUUUCGGAUCGUAAAGCUCUGUUGUAAGAGAAGAACGAGUGUGAGAGUGGAAAGUUCACACUGUGACGGUAUCUUACCAGAAAGGGACGGCUAACUACGUG
rnacentral:rRNA from 1 species